rnacentral:misc_RNA from 1 species
AGGUAGAGUAAGUGCGCCAAUUAUGGACCACCAUAAGGAUUUUGUGUAAUAAAACUCAGAAUUAUAAAGAUUAAUCAGCCUUAUAUAUUUUGGACGGUUCGAUAAUUAUUUGGUAUCAAAAACGAUUGUUAGAAUUCUUAAGGAACAUGAACAUCUUAGAAAUAAUCAACAUUUUCUAAAAUAUGUCAUUAUUGUGCAUUAGCAAAAAGUGUACAAAAUAUGGACCACAUGGUUUUAAAUAUGGACCAUAGUCAAUUUGGUAAAAUUAUUGAGAAAAAAGGGCGUGUUGCCUAAAAUUAAAUCAGUCAAUUUUUAAGAUUAAAGUAAUUGCUAGUACACAAUUCACAUAAAAAAAAUCAACCUUAUCUUCUAUGCCAGCACAUUCUUCAUGAGCCCACUCCCUGCAUGAUGCACAUUGGAUUCAUUUCUCUCCAUGAACGUCUUAAAAAAAAAGCCCAUUAUAAUACAAACAUUUACUAUUUUGAUUUUGGGAACGAUCAGGACUUUCAUCGGUACUAUCAUUGACUGAAUAAUCACUUUUAUCAGAACUUUCAGACGAUGAUUUUCUUUCUGUUGUGAUCUUUCUUUUCUUCUGGGCUGUUUUUUUUUGCAUUUUCUUUUGUGUCUUCUUUGGCGGUUUCUUUGGCGUAUUCUUUUGUAUAUGAUGUAGAGGCACUAACUAUUGAAUCAUUCAUAGUCGGUGUUGACAUUCCUGGUCGUGCGCCAUCAACGCUCUGGGGUAAUGGUUCAUUUACAGAUUGAGGUUCCGUACUUGCAACAACCCUUGUCUCGGGUAAGCAGUUAUCGGGUUCAGGUACAACAGCCCUUGGCUCAGGUAUUGGGUUAUCAGGAAUUUUAUCAACUGGUGUCGUUAUAUCGCGCGCUGGGUCAUUAGAAGGAUACUGCUGGAAGGUCUUCGUCAAUAAAGCCAUGCUCUUCAAGGACGUGUCUAUUAACGGGAUAUAUCCCUGUUACACGAAAACCGCUAAUGGCCAAUUCUGCACGCUGAGCUCGUAUGUAGGCUCGACCAAACUCACCUCU